AGGGGGUGAAAUCCUGCGGCUCAACCUCGGGCCUGCAGUGGGUACGGGCAGACUAGAGUGCGGUAGGGGAGAUUGGAAUUCCUGGUGUAGCGGUGGAAUGCGCAGAUAUCAGGAGGAACACCGAUGGCGAAGGCAGAUCUCUGGGCCGUAACUGACGCUGAGGAGCGAAAGCAUGGGGAGCGAACA
rnacentral:rRNA from 1 species